AUGGAAGAUUCAUAAUCUGAUUCCGGCGUGUGUGUGCUCGUCCAUACAUGAAGUACGAGUAUGGAACGAGGUGCCAAAGGAAUACAUAAUCCGAAUUCAGAACGCGCGCUCGUCAGUAUCAUUCCUACAGAUCGGUCUGAGAAAUUCUGUAUCUGAAAAAAAUCUGAGUUUACGUGGAUUAACAAGAUAGCUUCACAAAAGCUGCCAGUUGGCGGCGCCGUCGCCAUGGGCAUUGUGCAGAUCUGAAAAAAUCUGAGUUUACGUGGAUUAACAAUGACAUUCCGCUGAAUUCAGAGAGUAAUUCCGGCGGUGUGUGGCCGGCGUAAUUUUUAUUUUUUACUCAAUUAUCCCCUUUUUUUUCACUUGGUGCAAUCAGAACAAUUAGAAGAAGAAUUUUACUGUCAACGUUUGACAUUAUGCUAUAAUCGGUAAAAAAAUUGCAAAAUUAUCAGUGAUUUUUGUAACAUUUUUCUAAAUUACAAUGUGUAGCCCUCUUCAAUGUUUGCCAAGUUAUAAAGAACCUCCGCCAUGCGUUCCGUGUUGUCGUGUCUCAGGCCCAACCUGCCUACCAUGCGGCAUAGACAACGUCACACUCCGGCGGCCUCUGAUCGUGGGUGACAGUUGCUUCGAGUACCGACCCACGUCAUGGCCUGGCAUGCUUCUGAAUAACCAAGACAAGCAUAUUCGAUAUCAACUUAUUAAUUAUGAACGACCGGUCCAGCCCCACUACCCAUCCUGUUCGCCAUCGUAUUGUCAAUGCCGCUAAAACAACGAAUGGAAAAAACAGGUGCCUUUGUAUACAAUCUCAUAAUAACCCAAUUACCUAU